AACCCCUCAAGCAUCGCUUGAUGUUGGGCGCUUGUCCCCGCCCCCGCGCGCGGACUCGCCUCGAAGACAUUGGCGGCCUGUGUAUUGGCUACGAGCGCAGCAGACCCGCGCCUCGUCCCCUCUCCGCGCAGGCGCCCACGAAGCGCAACCCCCCAA
rnacentral:misc_RNA from 1 species